AGGUAAACGGGGUUUUGACCAAGAUGAUACUUUAGGAGUGGUAUAAAUUGCUUAUUUCAGGAGUCUUGGCUCCAAAAGACUUCUAAGUCAUGAAAAAAUUAAAUCUGCCUUGAAGGAUGCAAAUGCGCUAUCAAUAAAGGCAUUAAAAUCACUUCACCAAUAAUUUUGAGUGUCUCUGUUUGUAUCAGGCACAGUGCUCAGCGCUGGAAAUGAAAGACCUAAUUCCUGCCCUGAGGAGCUUAUCUUCUGCGUCAAACUGUGGUCUCCUCCUCCAGCAAGACAGUGGGUUUCCUUCCAUAGGCUCUGGCCUGAUGCAUGCAGGUAAGCGGGUGCUCGGCCAGGCAAGAAGCCAUUCCCUAAAAGACCUGAGUAUAGCUCCCGACCCAGCCGCUGUGAACCAUGCUUGGCCCCACAAGAGAAAGGAAAACAGGAGAGACAUUGGAUUGGAUCUUCCAGAAGGUCUUUGUUGCAAUUUUCUGCAUCAUUGGAAAAAAAAUUACAUCAUCAUCAAAUAAAGACAAUAGCAGCACAGCUUA
rnacentral:lncRNA from 1 species